GACGAACGCUGGCGGCGUGCUUAAUACAUGCAAGUGGAGCGACGAACCAGGCUUCGGCCUGGGGCAGAGCCGCGAACGGGUGAGUAACACGUGGGUAACCUGCCUCGAUGACCGGGACAACCCGGGGAAACCCGGGCUAAUACCGGAUGUGCUGUCCCCACAUCAGUGGAGACAGGAAAGGAAGCUUCGGCCUCCGCAUCGAGAUGGGCCCGCGGCCCAUUAGCUUGUUGGUGUGGUAACGGCUCACCAAGGCUGCGAUGGGUAGCUGGUCUGAGAGGACGAUCAGCCACACUGGGACUGAGACACGGCCCAGACUCCUACGGGAGCAGCAGUAGGGAAUCUUGCGCAAUGCGCGAAAGCGUGACGCAGCAACGCCGCGUGGGGGAAG
rnacentral:rRNA from 1 species